rnacentral:rRNA from 1 species
CCCUUAGAUGGUCUGGGCGGCACGCGCGCUACAAUGAUGCAUUCAAAAAGUCUUCUGACCUUAGAAGGUUGGGUAUUCUCCAAAGUGCAUCGUGAUGGGAAUAGUUUAUUGCAAUUUUUAAUCUUGAACGAGGAAUUCCUAGUAAGUACAGGUCAUCAACUUGUGUUGAUUACGUCCCUGCCCUUUGUACACACCGCCCGUCGCUACUACCGAUUGAAUGGCUUAGUGAGGCUUCCGGAUUGGUUUAGAGAAGGGGGCAACUCCAUCUUGGAACCGAGAAGCUAGUCAAACUUGGUCAUUUAGAGGAAGUAAAAGUCGUAACA